AUUGAACGCUGGCGGCAGGCCUAACACAUGCAAGUCGAGCGGAUCGGCGGCCGGGGGCGUAAUGCCUAUGAAUCGGCCUGUGAGUGGGGGAUAACGUCAGGAAACGGGCACUAAUACUGCAUACUAUCAGAUGCGCCUAGGUCGGAUUAGCUAGUUGGUGGGGUAAAGGCCUACCAAGGCGACGAUCCGUAUCUGGUCUGAGAGGAUGAUCAGCCACACUGGAACUGAGACACGGCCCAGACUCCUACGGGAGGCAGCAGUGGGGAAUAUUGGACAAUGGGCGAAAGCCUGAUGCAGCCAUGCCGCGUGUAUGAAGAAGGCCUUCGGGUUGUAAAGUACUUUCAGCGGGGAGGCGUUACCCGCAGAAGAAGCACCGGCUAACUCCGUGCCAGCCGCCGCGGUAAUUC
rnacentral:rRNA from 1 species